rnacentral:rRNA from 1 species
UAAUACUGGAUAGGCAAUUAUUCCUGUAAUGGUUUUUUGUUUAAAUGUUUUUUCGCCUAAGGAUGGGUCUGCGGCCGAUUAGGUAGUUGGUUAGGUAAUGGCUUACCAAGCCUUUGAUCGGUACGGGUUGUGAGAGCAAGUGCCCGGAGAUGGAACCUGAGACAAGGUUCCAGGCCCUACGGGGUGCAGCAGGCGCGAAACCUCCGCAAUGUGAGAAAUCGCGACGGGGGGAUCCCAAGUGCCAUUCUUAACGGGAUGGCUUUUCUUUAGUGUAAAAAGCUUUUGGAAUAAGAGCUGGGCAAGACCGGUGCCAGCCGCCGCGGUAACACCGGCAGCUCUAGUGGUAGCAAUUUUUAUUGGGCCUAAAGCGUCCGUAGCCGGUUUAAUAAGUCUCUGGUGAAAUCCUGUAGCUUAACUGUGGGAAUUGCUGGAGAUACUAUUAGACUUGAGACCGGGAGAGGUUAGAGGUACUCCCAGGGUAGAGGUGAAAUUCUGUAAUCCUGGGAGGACCGCCUGUUGCGAAGGCGUCUAACUGGAACGGUUCUGACGGUGAGGGACGAAAGUUAGGGGCGCGAACCGGAUUAGAUACCCGGGUAGUCCUAACUGUAAACGAUGCGGACUUGGUGUUG